rnacentral:rRNA from 1 species
AUUGAACGCUGGUGGCAUGCCUUACACAUGCAAGUCGAACGGUAACAGGUCUUCGGAUGCUGACGAGUGGCGAACGGGUGAGUAAUGCAUCGGAACGUGCCUAGUAGUGGGGGAUAACUACUCGAAAGAGUGGCUAAUACCGCAUGAGAUCUACGGAUGAAAGCAGGGGAUCGCAAGACCUUGUGCUACUAGAGCGGCCGAUGGCAGAUUAGGUAGUUGGUGGGAUAAAAGCUUACCAAGCCGACGAUCUGUAGCUGGUCUGAGAGGACGAUCAGCCACACUGGGACUGAGACACGGCCCAGACUCCUACGGGAGGCAGCAGUGGGGAAUUUUGGACAAUGGGCGCAAGCCUGAUCCAGCAAUGCCGCGCGCAGGAUGAAGGCCUUCGGGUUGUAAACUGCUUUUGUACGGAACGAAAAGCCCUGGGUUAAUACCCUGGGGUCAUGACGGUACCGUAAGAAUAAGCACCGGCUAACUACGUGCCAGCCGCCGCGGUAAAAC